rnacentral:rRNA from 1 species
UACGGAGGGUGCAAGCGUUAUCCGGAUUCACUGGGUUUAAAGGGUGCGUAGGUGGGUUGGUAAGUCAGUGGUGAAAGCCCCGAGCUUAACUUGGGAAUGGCGCUUGUGACUGGUAGGCUGGAGUGUGGCAGAGGGAGGUGGAAUUCCACGUGUAGCAGUGAAAUGCGUAGAGAUGUGGAGGAACACCGAUGGCGAAGGCAGCCUCCUGGGCCAGCACUGACGCUCAUGCACGAAAGCGUGGGGAGCAAACAGG